AUUGAACGCUGGCGGCAGGCCUAACACAUGCAAGUCGAGCGAGCGGCGGACGGGUGAGUAAUGUAUGGGGAUCUGCCCGAUAGAGGGGGAUAACUACUGGAAACGGUGGCUAAUACCGCAUACUAGCGGAUGACCCCAUAGGGGAUUAGCUAGUAGGUGGGGUAAAGGCUCCCCUAGGCGACGCUCUCUAGCUGGUCUGAGAGGAGGAUCAGCCACACUGUAACUGAGACACGGCCCAGACUCCUACGGGAGGCAGCAGUGGGGAAUAUUGCACAAUGGGCGCAAGCCUGAUGCAGCCAUGCCGCGUGUAUGAAGAAGGCCUUCGGGUUGUAAAGUACUUUCAGCGGGGAGGCGUUACCCGCAGAAGAAGCACCGGCUAACUCCGUGCCAGCCGCCGCGGUAAUAC
rnacentral:rRNA from 1 species